rnacentral:rRNA from 1 species
CAGUAGCCGCGGGAAUACGAAGGGGGCUAGCGUUGUUCGGAAUUACUGGGCGUAAAGCGCACGUAGGCGGAUAUUUAAGUCAGGGGUGAAAUCCCAGAGCUCAACUCUGGAACUGCCUUUGAUACUGGGUAUCUUGAGUAUGGAAGAGGUAAGUGGAAUUCCGAGUGUAGAGGUGAAAUUCGUAGAUAUUCGGAGGAACACCAGUGGCGAAGGCGGCUUACUGGUCCAUUACUGACGCUGAGGUGCGAAAGCGUGGGGAGCAAACAGGAUUAGAUACCCCCGUAGUCCCUGUCUCUUAUAC